rnacentral:misc_RNA from 1 species
UGGCUCUGGCAUCGAUGAAGAACGCAGCGAAAUGCGAUACGUAAUGUGAAUUGCAGAAUUCAGUGAAUCAUCGAAUCUUUGAACGCACAUUGCGCCCAGCAGUAUUCUGCUGGGCAUGCCUGUUCGAGCGUCAUUUCAACCCUCAGCCUCGGCUUUACUGUCCAGGCUGGUGUUGGGGCUCGGGUGUCUUUCGGCGCCCGUCUCCUAAAGCUAGUGGCGGUCUCGCGGCUUCCCCCUCUGUGUAGUAAUUCAUUCUCGCAGCCUGGAGGAGCAGCUUGGCCACGCCGUUAAACCCCUUACUAUUACAAGGUUGACCUCGGAUCAGGUAGGAAUACCCGCUGA